rnacentral:rRNA from 1 species
UACGAAGGGUGCAAGCGUUACUCGGAAUUACUGGGCGUAAAGCGUGCGUAGGUGGUGAGUUAAGUCUGUCGUGAAAGCCCCCGGGCUCAACCUGGGAAUGGCGAUGGAUACUGGCUCGCUAGAGUGCGGUAGAGGAGAGUGGAAUUCCCGGUGUAGCAGUGAAAUGCGUAGAGAUCGGGAGGAACACCAGUGGCGAAGGCGGCUACCUGGACCAGCACUGACACUGAGGCACGAAAGCGUGGGGAGCAAACAGGG